AUGUGGCGACACAGAGCGGAACCCGAAAAACCUAGUCUCAGUUCGGAUUGGAGUCUGCAACCCGACUCCAUGAAGCUGGAUUCGCUAGUAAUCGCGCAUCAGCCAUGGCGCGGUGAAUACGUUCCCGGGCCUUGUACACACCGCCCGUCAAGCCAUGGAAGCCGGGAGUGCCUGAAGUGCGUGAGCGUAAGCAGCGCCCUAAGGUAAAACCGGGUGACUGGGGCUAAGUCGUAACAAGGUAGC
rnacentral:rRNA from 1 species